AUCUUAAUGUAUUUCUUCAAGUAUAGAUAUUGGGGUAUUCACACCAUUGCAUGAAAUGUGCCUCCCUCAAACCUUGUUAUGAUGCUGGCACAUUAUACUCUGACA